rnacentral:rRNA from 1 species
AACGUAGGACACAAGCGUUAUCCGGAGUUACUGGGCGUAAAGGGCGCGUAGGCGGUUGGGUAAGUCUACUCUGAAAGCUCCUGGCUAAACUGGGAGAGUCGAGUGGAGACUGCUGAUCUAGAGUGAGGAAGAGGAAAGUGGAAUUCCGCGUGUAGUGGUGAAAUGCGUAGAGAUGCGGAGGAACACCAGUGGCGAAAGCGACUUUCUGGUCCUUAACUGACGCUGAGGCGCGAAAGCAUGGGGAGCGAACGGG